rnacentral:rRNA from 1 species
AGACGUCUACAUUAGAUACCCGCGUAGUCCCAGCCGUAAACUAUGCGCGUUAGGUGUAUCGGUGACCACGAGUUACCGAGGUGCCAAAGGGAAACCGUGAAACGUGCCGCCUGGGAAGUACGGUCGCAAGGCUGAAACUUAAAGGAAUUGGCGGGGAGCACCACAACGGGUGGAGCCUGCGGUUUAAUUGGACUCAACGCCGGGAAGCUCACCGGAUAAGACAGCGGAAUGAUUGCCGGGCUGAAGACUCUGCAUGACUAGCUG